GAUGAACGCUGGCGGCGUGCCUAAUACAUGCAAGUCGAGCGAAUGGAUUAAGAGCUUGCUCUUAUGAAGUUAGCGGCGGACGGGUGAGUAACACGUGGGUAACCUGCCCAUAAGACUGGGAUAACUCCGGGAAACCGGGGCUAAUACCGGAUAACAUUUUGAACCGCAUGGUUCGAAAUUGGAAGGCGGCUUCGGCUGUCACUUAUGGAUGGACCCGUGUCGCAUUAGCUAGUUGGUGAGGUAACGGCUCACCAAGGCAACGAUGCGUAGCCGACCUGAGAGGGUGAUCGGCCACACUGGGACUGAGACACGGCCCAGACUCCUACGGGAGGCAGCAGUAGGGAAUCUUCCGCAAUGGACGAAAGUCUGACGGAGCAACGCCGCGUGAGUGAUGAAGGCUUUCGGGUCGUAAAACUCUGUUGUUAGGGAAGAACAAGUGCUAGUUGAAUAAGCUGGCACCUUGACGGUACCUAACCAGAAAGCCACGGCUAACUACGUGCCAGCAGCCGCCGUAA
rnacentral:rRNA from 1 species